rfam:Schistosoma haematobium scaffold1437_2, whole genome shotgun sequence.
AUCCAGCUGACGAGUCCCAAAUAGGAUGAAACACGCAUCCUGGAU